CCACCUCUUCCCAUUCCGAACAGAGAAGUUAAACCUUAUCACGCCGAUGGUACUGCGAAAGCGGGAGAGUAGGUAAUCGCCACCU
rnacentral:rRNA from 1 species